AUGGCAAGUUCCAGCUCGCAAGGACGGCGAGGGAAGGAAACCGCAGAUGAGUUGUUGGCUCGACUUAACUUACAGGAGGAGGAGGAUGAUGACUUUGUUUGGGAAGAAGAGCUGCCGGACUUGGGAGAGCCGGCGAAGUGGCUAGCUAUAGCACGGGUGCAUACACUGAAAUCUUUCAGCCCUAAUGCUCUGUACGGGGACAUGCGUGUAGCGUGGAAUCCCGCGAGGACUGUGGUUUGGAGGAAUAUCAAAGAUAAUCUGUUCAUAGUCCAAUUUGGUUGUCUUGGUGAUUGGAACAAAGCAAUGUUGGAGGGACCCUGGUUGUUCAGAGACCACGCUGUAAUCUUAAAGGAGUAUGAUGGUUUUAAGAAGCCUGAGAGUGUCGUCCUAGACAAGCUGUCGGUCUGGGCUCAGAUACAUCUAUUGCCGGAUAACUUUCUGAUAGAACGGGCAGUCAGGGGAUUGGCUUCUCGCAUCGGGGAAGUGGAGGAAGUCCAGUUGAAACUCCCGGCGGGCUUCUUUGGGGAGUUCGUCCGGGUCAGAGUGAAAAUUGACAUCAAUGCCAAGAUUAAACAUUUUGUUACAUGA
rnacentral:rRNA from 1 species